rfam:Flavobacteria bacterium BAL38 1101699887718, whole genome shotgun sequence.
AUCUAACCCCGAUAGAAGCGACAUCCCGCCUUGGCGGAUAUAGCGAAUAGCGGGAAAAUGG